rnacentral:lncRNA from 1 species
ACAUGAUUCAGGCUGGCCUCCACUGGGCUUGGAGUAAAAAUAACAGUUCUGGUGGUGGGCAGGGUCUUUGCAUCCCCAGUGGGCACCUCAGAAGGCUGUUCGGCUGGGGAAGAGGACCUCGGGAAUGUAGACAGGAUUGGCAGCCCUUCCCAGAGCCUUCAGGAAACCCCACCAAGCUGCCGGGAGCUGGCAUGCUUACUGGGACCGGUGAGCUGAGGAGUGAGUCUGUCCAGUAGACUCAGGACGAGAAGUCCAAACCUCUGAGGCCUGAUGAGGAACUGCUUGAUAGAAACUGGCAUAAUCUCCCUCCAGCAGCAUCCUGAGCAAGAUUUGAAACAAUGGCUCUGGCAGACAGACAAAAGAAGGGAGCUUGGCGCUGUUCCCAUAAAUGCUACUGGGUCCUUUCCUCAGUGAAGUUGCUGCUCUGCAGUGGAAUCUCACACUCAGCUUAAGAAAGUCAAGUGAUACAGAUUUGAGCCAUCAAUCAUACUGUGGAAGCUAACUCAACUACCCAGAACUUGAUUUAUGGGAAAGAAAGGGUUUCCAAGACAACUUGAAACCAUGGUUGAUGUAAUGGUUAUUAUGCCCCUGAAAUACCAAUAUAGCCUUUCAUCUUUUUCUGAAAGUAUUAUUCUCAUAAGGAAAUUAUAACACCUAAAGGCUUCAGUGUCA